rnacentral:rRNA from 1 species
UACGUAGGGUGCAAGCGUUGUCCGGAAUUAUUGGGCGUAAAGAGCUCGUAGGCGGUUUGUCGCGUCUGCUGUGAAAACUCGGGGCUUAACUCCGGGCCUGCAGUGGGUACGGGCAGACUAGAGUGCGGUAGGGGAGACUGGAAUUCCCGGUGUAGCGGUGAAAUGUGUAGAGAUCGGGAGGAACACCGGUGGCGAAGGCGGGUCUCUGGGCAAUUCCUGACGCUGAGGCGCGAAAGCGUGGGGAGCAAACGGG